GAUGAACGCUGGCGGCGUGCCUAAUACAUGCAAGUCGAGCGAACGGACGAGAAGCUUGCUUCUCUGAUGUUAGCGGCAGACGGGUGAGUAACACGUGGAUAACCUACCUAUAAGACUGGGAUAACUUCGGGAAACCGUAGCUAGUACCGGAUAAUAUUUUGAACCGCAUGGUUCAAAAGUGAAAGACGGUCUUGCUGUCACUUAUAGAUGGAUCCGCGCUGCAUUAGCUAGUUGGUAAGGUAACGGCUUACCAAGGCAACGAUGCAUAGCCGACCUGAGAGGGUGAUCGGCCACACUGGAACUGAGACACGGUCCAGACUCCUACGGGAGGCAGCAGUAGGGAAUCUUCCGCAAUGGGCGAAAGCCUGACGGAGCAACGCCGCGUGAGUGAUGAAGGUCCUCGGAUCGUAAAACUCUGUUAUUAGGGAAGAGCAUAUGUGUAAGUAACUGUGCACAUCUUGACGGUACCUAAUCAGAAAGCCACGGCUAACUACGUG
rnacentral:rRNA from 1 species